rnacentral:rRNA from 1 species
GACGAACGCUGGCGGCGUGCUUAACACAUGCAAGUCGAACGGAAAGGCCCUGCUUUUGUGGGGUGCUCGAGUGGCGAACGGGUGAGUAACACGUGAGUAACCUGCCCUUGACUUUGGGAUAACUUCAGGAAACUGGGGCUAAUACCGGAUAGGAGCUCCUGCUGCAUGGUGGGGGUUGGAAAGAUUCGGCGGUUGGGGAUGGACUCGCGGCUUAUCAGCUUGUUGGUGGGGUAGUGGCUUACCUAGGCUUUGACGGGUAGCCGGCCUGAGAGGGUGACCGGCCACAUUGGGACUGAGAUACGGCCCAGACUCCUACGGGAGGCAGCAGUGGGGAAUAUUGCACAAUGGGCGGAAGCCUGAUGCAGCAACGCCGCGUGCGGGAUGACGGCCUUCGGGUUGUAAACCGCUUUCGCCUGUGACGAAGCGUGAGUGACGGUAAUGGGUAAAGAAGCACCGGCUAACUACGUG